UGGGGAAUCUUGGACAAUGGGGGCAACCCUGAUCCAGCCAUGCCGCGUGAGUGAUGAAGGCCUUAGGGUCGUAAAGCUCUUUCGCCUGUGAAGAUAAUGACGGUAGCAGGUAAAGAAACCCCGGCUAACUCCGUGCCAGCAGCCGCGGUAAUACGGAGGGGGUUAGCGUUGUUCGGAAUUACUGGGCGUAAAGCGCACGUAGGCGGACCAGAAAGUUGGGGGUGAAAUCCCGGGGGCUCAACCCCGGAACUGCCUCCAAAACUAUUGGUCUAGAGUUCGAGAGAGGUGAGUGGAAUUCCAAGUGUAGAGGUGAAAUUCGUAGAUAUUUGGAGGAACACCAGUGGCGAAGGCGGCUCACUGGCUCGAUACUGACGCUGAGGUGCGAAAGUGUGGGGAGCAAACAGGAUUAGAUACCCCUGGUAGUCCACACCGUAAAACGAUGAAUGCCAGUCGUCGGGUAGCAUGCUAUUCGGUGACACACCUAACGGAUUAAGCAUUCCGCCUGGGGAGUACGGUCGCAAGAUUAAAACUCAAAGGAAUUG
rnacentral:rRNA from 1 species